rnacentral:snRNA from 1 species
GGAUUUGAGGGCAGUCUUCCUGUGACAUCUGUCACCCACUGAUUGCCAGGAUUGAUUCUGCUGAUCUGGCUGGCUAGGUGGGUGUCCCUGUCCUCAUUCAUCGCUCCACGUGUGUCCCUCCUGAAGCAGCAUGCUCAGUUGAAAAAGAAGAAGACAAUCUUCCCCAAAUAGAGAUGGACCAGAUCUUUGGUGGAGGGUUUACAAGUAGCUGGGCUCCCCUGCUAGAACCUCCAAAAAGCUCUUGAGAAAUAUAUAUUUUAAAGUAUAUUAUACUUGAGGAGCAACUGAUGUAUGAUUGUAUUUCCCU